AGAAAUAGGUGCUAAUACCGCAUAAGCGCACGGAGUCGCAUGACUUUGUGUGAAAAACUGAGGUGGUAUAUGAUGGACCCGCGUCUGAUUAGCUUGUUGGUGAGGUAACGGCCCACCAAGGCGACGAUCAGUAGCCGGCCUGAGAGGGUGGACGGCCACAUUGGGACUGAGACACGGCCCAAACUCCUACGGGAGGCAGCAGUGGGGGAUAUUGGACAAUGGGGGGAACCCUGAUCCAGCGACGCCGCGUGAGUGAAGAAGUAUUUCGGUAUGUAAAGCUCUGUCAGCAGGGAAGAAAGAAAUGACGGUACCUGACCAAGAAGCCCCGGCUAACUACGUGCCAGCAGCCGCGGUAAUACGUAGGGGGCAAGCGUUAUCCGGAUUUACUGGGUGUAAAGGGAGCGUAGACGGCUGUGCAAGUCUGGAGUGAAAGGCAUGGGCUCAACCUGUGGACUGCUUUGGAAACUGUGCGGCUUGAGUGUCGGAGAGGCAAGUGGAAUUCCUAGUGUAGCGGUGAAAUGCGUAGAUAUUAGGAGGAACACCAGUGGCGAAGGCGGUCUGCUGGACAGCAACUGACGCUGAGGCGCGAAAGCGUGGGGAGCAAACAGGAUUAGAUACCCUGGUAGUCCACGCUGUAAACGAUGAUUACUAGGUGUGGGGGGGGCUGACCCCUUUCCGUGCCGCAGUUAACACAAUAAGUAAUCCACCUGGGGAGUACGACCGCAAGGUUGAAACUCAAAGGAAUUGACGGGGGCCCGCACAAGCGGAGGAACAUGUGGUUUAAUUCGAUGAUACGCGAGGAACCUUACCCGGGAUUGAAAUGUAGAUGACUGAUGGUGAAAACCGUCUUCCCUUCGGGGCUUCUAUGUAGGUGCUGCAUGGUUGUCGUCAGCUCGUGCCGUGAGGUGUCGGCUUAAGUGCCAUAACGAGCGCAACCCACAUCGGUAGUUGCUAACAGUUUUCGCUGAGGACUCUACCGAGACUGCCGUCGUAAGGCGCGAGGAAGGUGUGGAUGACGUCAAAUCAGCACGGCCCUUACAUCCGGGGCGACACACGUGUUACAAUGGGAGGGACAAAGGGCAGCUACCGGGCGACCGGAUGCGAAUCUCUAAACCCUUCCCCAGUUCGGAUCGGAGUCUGCAACUCGACUCCGUGAAGCUGGAUUCGCUAGUAAUCGCGCAUCAGCC
rnacentral:rRNA from 1 species